rnacentral:tRNA from 1 species
GCCCAGGUAGCUCAGUUGGUAGAGCACAUGACUGAAAAUUAUGGUGUCGGUGGUUCGAAUCCGCCCCUGGGCACCA